AGAGUUUGAUCCUGGCUCAGGAUGAACGCUAGCGACAGGCUUAACACAUGCAAGUCGAGGGGCAGCGGGGCAAGAAGCUUGCUUUCUGCCGCCGGACACCGGCGCACGGGAGAGUAACACAUAUGCCACCUGCCCGUGACAGAUAGAUAACCAGGAAAAAUCCCCCCUAAUACAGCAUGACCCCGGGAAGGGACAUCCCUUUCCGGCCAAAGGGGGCGACUCCGGACACGGAUGGGCAUGCGGCGCAUUAGGUAGUUGGUGGGGCAACGGCCCACCAAGACGACUAUGCGUAGGGGUUUUGAGAGGAAGGUUCCCCACAUUGGAUCUGAGACACGGUCCAAACUCCUUCGGGAGGCAGCAGUGAGGAAUAUUGGUCAAUGGCCGGAAGGCUGAACCAGCCAAGUUGGGUGAGGGAAUAAGGCCCUACGGGUUGUAAACCUUUUUUGCCAGGGAGCAAUGCCGUCCACGUGUGGACGGAAGGAGAGUACCUGGAGAAAAAGCAUCGGCUAACUCCGUGCCAGCAGCCGCGGUAAUACGGAGGAUGCGAGCGUUAUCCGGAUUUAUUGGGUUUAAAGGGUGCGUAGGCGGCCUGCCAAGUCAGCGGUAAAAUUGCGGGGCUCAACCCCGUCCAGCCGUUGAAACUGCCGGGCUAGAGUGGGCGAGAAGUAUGCGGAAUGCGUGGUGUAGCGGUGAAAUGCAUAGAUAUCACGCAGAACCCCGAUUGCGAAGGCAGCAUACCGGCGCCCGACUGACGCUGAGGCACGAAAGUGCGGGGAUCAAACAGGAUUAGAUACCCUGGUAGUCCGCACAGUAAACGAUGAAUGUUAGCUGUCCGGGUGGAUUUACCCCUGGGUGGCACAACGAAAGGGUUUAAGCAUUCCCCCUGGGGAGUACGCCGGCAACGGUGAAACUCAAAGGAAUUGACGGGGGCCCGCACAAGCGGAGGAACAUGUGGUUUAAUUUGAUGAUACGGGAGGAACCUUACCCGAGCUCAAACGCGGAAGGGACAUUCUCUGAAAGGAGAUAGGCCAGCAAUGGUCUUGGGGGAGGUGCGGCAUGGUUGUGUUCAGCUCGUGCCGUGAGGUGUCGGCUUAAGUGCCAUAACGAGCGCAACCCCCUCCGCCAGUUGCUAAAUGGUCAAGCAGAGGAUUCUGUCGGGACUGCCGGCCCAAGCUGGGAGGAAGGGGGGGAUGACGUCAAAUCAGCACGGCCCUUACGUCGGGGGGGACACACGUGUUACAAUGGCAGGUACAACGGGAUGCCCUGGGGCGCCCCAGAGGGGAACCCGAAAACCUGUCUCAGUUCGGAUUGGAGUCUGCAACCCGACUCCAUGAAGCUGGAUUCGCUAGUAAUCGCGCAUCAGCCACGGCGCGGUGAAUACGUUCCCGGGCCUUGCACACACAGCCCGUCA
rnacentral:rRNA from 1 species